AUUGAACGCUGGCGGAAUGCUUUACACAUGCAAGUCGAACGGCAGCACGGACUUCGGUCUGGUGGCGAGUGGCGAACGGGUGAGUAAUGUAUCGGAACGUGCCCAGUCGUGGGGGAUAACGUAGUGAAAAUUACGCUAAUACCGCAUACGAUCUAUGGAUGAAAGCGGGGGAUCGCAAGACCUCGCGCGAUUGGAGCGGCCGAUAUCAGAUUAGGUAGUUGGUGGGGUAAAGGCCCACCAAGCCAACGAUCUGUAGCUGGUCUGAGAGGACGACCAGCCAAACUGGAACGAAGACACGGCAAAGACUCCUACGGGAGGCAGCAGUGGGGAAUUUUGGACAAUGGGCGAAAGCCUGAUCCAGCCAUUCCGCGUGCAGGAUGAAGGCCCUCGGGUUGUAAACUGCUUUUGUACAGAACGAAAAGGUUUCUACUAAUACUAGGAGCUCAUGACGGUACUGUAAGAAUAAGCACCGGCUAACUACGUGCCAGCAGCCGCCGUAA
rnacentral:rRNA from 1 species